rnacentral:rRNA from 1 species
AUUGAACGCUGGCGGCAGGCCUAACACAUGCAAGUCGAGCGGAAACAGGGGAGCUUGCUCUCGCUGUCGAGCGGCGGACGGGUGCGUAACGCGUAGGAAUCUACCUAGUAGUGGGGGAUAGCCCGGAGAAAUCCGGAUUAAUACCGCAUACACCUUACGGGGAAAAGAGGGCCUCUACUUGUAAGCUCUUGCUAUUAGAUGAGCCUGCGUCGGAUUAGCUAGUUGGUAGGGUAAAGGCUUACCAAGGCGACGAUCCGUAGCUGGUCUGAGAGGAUGAUCAGCCACACUGGGACUGAGACACGGCCCAG